CCAUCUCUUUAAGAAUUUUCCACAGUUUGUUGUGAUCCACAUAGUCAAUGGUUUUUACGUAGUCAGUGAAACAGAGGUUGACUCUUUUCUGGAAUUCUUUUGCUUUUUUUUUCUAUGAUCCAGUAGAUAUUGGCAGUUUGAUCUCUAGUUCCUCUGCCUUUUCUAAAUCCAGCUUGUACAUGUGGAAGUUCUCAAGCCUAUUUUAUUAAUGGAAAGUGCAGAUCGUCUGGUGUAAUUUACUGAAUACUGAAUGCAAAAAAGACAGGGUGGUUGUCAGGGUCCAGCAGAGCUGUGAGUGUGAGUUGCUCACUGUCCUGAGCACCAGAGGUCCGGGCUGCAGCCACUGUACUGCCCAGCUCCCACUGCAGAGGACAGACUGCACAUUGCCAGGGGGAAACAUCGAAACUCGAAAUUCGAAGUGUGGUUUCUCCUGAAUGUGUGUUGCUUUCGCAGCCUGAUAAAGUCAAAGAGUAAAACACUGAGUCGUGAGUCAGGGACCUUCUGCAUGAGAUGGUUUUGUUUUUACACCAAGGGGAAUCAGUCUUCAACCCCUACUCUGUGAGACAUGAGGUCUAUUUGUCUGAAUUCCUCAAGUGACCACUGCCCAGUCCGCUCAGCUUGACUUUCCCUAAAGACUGUUUCUAGGAGAAAGUGGCCAGGGUUGCUUCCCUUCCUUACUGUCUGGAUGGCUCAGGCACUUCACACCCACAGGGAUCACUUCCCGCAUCUACACUUAAGCGGUCAACGUGGCUUUGGGGUUCAGAUGGUUGCUGUGUGCUAGAGAGUAUCCUCUUUCUCAGCAGAACUUUGUGAUAAAGACAGAAUUGGGAGCAGGUUCAGAUAAGAUGCAUUUCCCAUGGUUUUUAAUGAGGACAUUUGCCAGAGAGCAGUUAGUCACCAGGACUCUUCGAGACUUGGGGCAGGAACUCGGGCCCACGGUGUGUGCCCAAGUCGGCCAGGCCCCAGGAACACACGUGUGCCCAGGCUCUCCUCUCCCAGAGAAGCAGCACUGCCCACUCAGCAGAGACGGGGCCUCCAUCUGAGGGUGGCAAACGUGCCUUGGCCUGUUAGAUGCGCAAGUGAAUCUCACCCGAAAGUCUUCCCUCUGGUGUCCUGUGAGAGCUCCCCGUCUGACAAGAACACUGUGGCCCUGGGCUGCCUGGCCCAGGACUUCGUGCCCAAUUCUGUCAGCUUCUCCUGGAAGUUCAAGAACAACAGCACGGUCAGCAGUGAGAAAUUCUGGACCUUCCCCGAAGUCCUGAGGGACGGCUUGUGGUCGGCCUCCUCUCAGGUGGUCCUGCCCUCCCCGAGAGUCCCCCAGGGGUCAAAGGACUACCUGGUGUGUGAAGUCCAGCACCCCAAGGAUGGAAAGACCAUCAGGACUGUGGAGGUGUCCCCCAGAGCGUCAGCGUCAACCCCAACCCCGACUCCGACCACGUUAGCGCCUUCUACGACACCCAGGUCAGAGGGCUCCAACAAAGUCGUCAACACUCAGAGCAGCCCAGUGCCGUCCACCAGCCACAGCCAGCCAGAUGCCCAGACACUGGUGUGUCCGAAGGACCCCUGCAGAGAGAGUCAGAACCACACCCAGGCCCCUCGCGUCCGCCUGCUGCCCCCACCCCCGCGGAGCCUCUGGCUCCUGGACAAGGCCGAGUUCACCUGCUUGGCCACAGGGGAGGCCCCGCCGCACGCCCACUUCUCCUGGGAGGUGAACGGGCAGCCCCACAGCGGGGCCGUGGACGAGGGGCCCACCCAGGACCGCAACGGCUCCUGGAGCCAGAGCAGCCGCCUGGCCCUGCCCAGGUCCCUGUGGGCCUUGGGCUCCACCGUCACCUGCACUCUGAGCAGCCCCGGCCUGCGGUCGCCGGUGACCCUGAUGGCACAGAGAGAACGUGCUGCCUCAGUGCCCAGCAAUCUGACCCUCCGCACUCUGACCCCGCCUGGCCCCUUCUCCGCUGCCUGGCUCCUGUGCGAGGUAUCCGGCUUCUCACCCGUGGAUGUCCUCCUCACAUGGCUGAAGGGCCAGCAAGAGAUGGAGCCUUCGCAGUUUGCAACGGCGCAGCCCGCACCCCAGGACGGGCGUGCCUCAUUCCGCACCUGGAGCGCCCUGCGCGUCUCCAGCCUUCUGGACGACGCGGGGACCACCUACACCUGUGUGGUCAGCCACGAGGCCUCCCGGACGCUCCUCAACGGCAGCUGCAGCCUGGACCCUGGUGGUCAGGCCACCUGGCCACCCUGGAGCCUGGACGAGAGCAGCAAUGAUGGUGUGGACGUGGAGGAUGCCAGCCCGCUCUGGCUCACCUUCCUGGCCCUCUUCCUCGUCACCGUGGUCUACGGCGGCUUCGUCACCUUCAUCAAGGUGAAGUAGCCCUGGAGAGAAGACACCGGGCUCCGCACAGACAGAACCUGGCCUCCACACCAUCUGCUGCUCCCAGAGGGCAGAGGAGCCCACGCUGGACCCCACCCUGCGGCCCCACCCUCUGUCCACCACAGAGCCCAGCCCCCAGCCCGAGGAGGACAUCAUGGUGCAGAGAGGGGGGCCCCCGGCUGGCCCUGCAGCCCCAGAGCCGGUGGCCCUGGCUGCAGCCCCCUUGCCUCCCCACCCACCAUCCGCCACAUAAAGAGCUUUGAUCCUUC